GAGGGAAACUCCUCUUCAUUCCCUCUCCCUUCCUAGCGCUGAGCCCUCCCUCCGUGUUCCCGGUUGUCAUGUCCACAGCAGCACCAGCCCCCAGAGAAAACCCAGCAGAACUCUUGGCCGAGCUGGUGAAUGUUCUGGGCUGGGAGAGGGCUCCGGGUUCCUGGGGCUGUUUGUUGUCUUUUGUUUUUGCACAGUCUUCAGUAUUUCCAAGGGCACUUGGCACAAGUACAUAAAAUUCAUCUUACAAGACAUAUUUGCCACUUGUAGCCAAAAUCUGGAGUCUACCUUUUAGUCCUGUCUUUAAGGAAUCUCUUCCUAGAAGUCUAAUGUCUUCCUGAAGCCGAAUAAAUAAGACAAUGGUGGGAAACGCUGGGGCUUGCCUGUGUCCUGCUUUCACCAUUGGCUCUGGGUCGACAGUGAUGGUGGUAAAGACGGCGUCCAUGGUGCCUUGUGAGCAGCCAGACCCCACACAGGACUGAGGCUCAUCCAUUUGCUCCUCUAAUUCUCACUGCAGGCUUAUAGGCAGGUGAUUUUAUUACCUUCACUGAGGCUCAGAUAAGGUACAAGAAUUUGUAAACCGAAAACAGAUGGUUGCACCCUAACUUUUCUGA
rnacentral:lncRNA from 1 species